GAUGAAGAACGUAGUGAAAUGCGAUAAGUAAUGUGAAUUGCAGAAUUCAGUGAAUCAUCGAAUCUUUGAACGCACAUUGCGCCCGCCAGUAUUCUGGCGGGCAUGCCUGUUCGAGCGUCAUUACAACCCUCAGGCCCCCGGGCCUGGCGUUGGGGAUCGGCGGAGCCCCCCGUGGGCACACGCCGUCCCCCAAAUGCAGUGGCGGUCCCGCCGCAGCUUCCAUCGCGUAGUAGCUAACACCUCGCGACUGGAGAGCGGCGCGGCCACGCCGUAAAACACCCGACUCUUCUGAAGUUGACCUCGAAUCAGGUAGGAAUACCCGCUGAACUUAAGCAUAUCAAUAAGCGGAGGA
rnacentral:misc_RNA from 1 species